rnacentral:rRNA from 1 species
UGCUCGAGUGGCGAACGGGUGAGUAACACGUGAGUAACCUGCCCUUGACUUUGGGAUAACUUCAGGAAACUGGGGCUAAUACUGGAUAGGAGCUCCUGCUGCAUGGUGGGGGUUGGAAAGUUUCGGCGGUUGGGGAUGGACUCGCGGCUUAUCAGCUUGUUGGUGGGGUAGUGGCUUACCAAGGCUUUGACGGGUAGCCGGCCUGAGAGGGUGACCGGCCACAUUGGGACUGAGAUACGGCCCAG